rnacentral:rRNA from 1 species
AAAGGUGGCUAUGCUACCGCUUUUGGAUGGGCCCGCGGCGCAUUAGCUAGUUGGUGGGGUAAAGGCUUACCAAGGCAAUGAUGCGUAGCCGAACUGAGAGGUUGAUCGGCCACAUUGGGACUGAGACACGGCCCAAACUCCUACGGGAGGCAGCAGUAGGGAAUCUUCCACAAUGGGCGAAAGCCUGAUGGAGCAACGCCGCGUGGGUGAAGAAGGUCUUCGGAUCGUAAAACCCUGUUGUUAGAGAAGAAAGUGCGUGAGAGUAACUGUUCACGUUUCGACGGUAUCUAACCAGAAAGCCACGGCUAACUACGUGCCAGCAGCCGCGGUAAUACGUAGGUGGCAAGCGUUAUCCGGAUUUAUUGGGCGUAAAGGGAACGCAGGCGGUCUUUUAAGUCUGAUGUGAAAGCCUUCGGCUUAACCGGAGUAGUGCAUUGGAAACUGGGAGACUUGAGUGCAGAAGAGGAGAGUGGAACUCCAUGUGUAGCGGUGAAAUGCGUAGAUAUAUGGAAGAACACCAGUGGCGAAAGCGGCUCUCUGGUCUGUAACUGACGCUGAGGUUCGAAAGCGUGGGUAGCAAACAGGAUUAGAUACCCUGGUAGUCCACGCCGU